AUGGUUCAAUCACUUGACUUUGAAUCAUUUGUUCUAUCAUAUUUGAAUGUGUUCAAUGAAAUGCCACAGAGGAAUAAAGUCAAGUAUCUUCGUGUCGAGGAUGAUGCAACGUUUUCCGACGACGGUGAAUCCAAAGUACAAAAUUCCUUGGCGCGAAUUUUUCCAGACGUGAACCUGCCCCAUUUUAUACAGGACAUAAACUUGCUUUUUACCGGUUUUAUUGGUGUGAUACCGGCCUCGUCUUGUCAUUAUUGA